ACGGAGGGUGCGAGCGUUGUCCGGAAUCACUGGGCGUAAAGGGCGCGUAGGCGGUCUGCUAAGCGUGUGGUGAAAGCUCGGGGCUCAACCCCGAGUCUGCCAUGCGAACUGGUGGACUAGAGCACUGUAGAGGCAGGUGGAAUUCCGGGUGUAGCGGUGGAAUGCGUAGAGAUCCGGAAGAACACCGGUGGCGAAGGCGGCCUGCUGGGCAGUUGCUGACGCUGAGGCGCGACAGCGUGGGGAGCAAACAGGAUUAGAUACCCUGGUAGUCCACGCCGUAAACGAUGGGCACUAGGUGCUUGGGGGAGCGACCCCCCGAGUGCCGGCGCUAACGCAUUAAGUGCCCCGCCUGGGGAGUACGACCGCAAGGUUG
rnacentral:rRNA from 1 species